UCCACGAGGCCGGUCUUCCAUUGGUUGGAGCGUUGGAACGUCAUUGAGCAGUGAGCACGCAGCAGGAGGAAGAGUUAAACUAUUUCCCCCAUCGUUCUCUGUGCUCUGUUCUUCUCCUUGAUUCCCUCAUUCUCCCACACCACCCUUUGUCUCUCUCUGUGUGAAAAUAUUCUUGGUUGGAGCUUGGAGAUACAGAGAGAGGGAGAGAGUUUUGGUGACGAGAGCAUGGCCAGAUCAGAGGGCUCAAUCUUUAAGCUGUGCUUCUUGUGUUCCGUGAUCGCGAAUCUCUUCUUCGGGGUGAAUCUCUACCUGGGUCGCCGUGGCGUGGGGAGGUGGAAGUGGAGCAGCGACGAGGUGAACGUCCAAGGCCUGAGCUGGAGCGGGAGGGCGGCGGCGGAGGCCGAGUCGGCGGCGGCGCGGGAGUGCUCGGGCCACGGGAGGGCGUUCCUCGACGGGGCGGUCGCCGACGGGAGGCCGGCCUGCGAGUGCAACACGUGCUACGGCGGUCCGGACUGCUCCCUCUUCUUGCCCUCUUGCUCUGCCAAUGCCGACGGGGGAGAUCCAUUGUUCUUGGAGCCAUUCUGGAAGCAGCAUGCAGAGAGCAGUGCAGUAGUGGUGGCGGGGUGGCACAGGAUGAGCUACUCCUUCAGUGACCAGACCUUCUUGUCCCAAGAACUUGAGUCUCUCCUCAGGAAGCUGCACUCCCAGGUUGGGAAUGCCAUCACAGACGACAAAUACAUUUUGUUUGGUGCUGGCUCUACCCAACUCCUCAAUGCUGCUGUCCAUGCUCUCUCUCAUCUCAACUCUUCAUUUCCUGCUUCAGCUGUUGCCUCAAUCCCCUAUUAUGCGCUUUAUCAAAUGCAAACAGAGUUCUUCGACUCAGCAGACUGCAGCUUUCAGGGAGACCCGGUGCAUUGGAAGAACGCAACCAACACCACUGGAGACAUCAUCGAGUUCGUGACUGCACCGAACAAUCCCAAUGGACAGUUGAAUGAGGCCAUUCUCCAUGGCCCUAAUGUUAAAACUAUUCACGACCGCUUAUUACUGGCCACAUUUCACCGGAAUUCCUUCCCAGCAGAUGAGGACCUCACUAUCUUCACUAUCUCUAAGCUCACUGGUCAUGCCGGUAGCAGAUUCGGAUGGGCAUUCAUAAGGAAUGAAGAGGUGUACCAAAGGAUGAACACAUUCCUGCAAUUGAACACGAUGGGCGUCUCAAGGGACACUCAGUUAAGAGCUAUGAAGCUUCUGAAAGUAAUCAUCGAAGAUGGAGGGAGGGAAAUAUUCAAGUUUGGAUACAAAACCAUGACCAAACGUUGGGACAGACUGAGGAAGACACUGUCUAUGUCGAACAGAUUCUCUCUCCAGAAAAUAGCACCUGAAAACUGCACCUAUUUCCAGAAAGUUAGGGAACCAACUCCAGCUUAUGCAUGGGUGAAAUGUGAGAGAGAGGAAGACAGGAACUGCAUUGAGAUCCUAAAUGCAGCCAAAAUCCUCGGUAGAGGAGGGAGCAUCUUCCAUGAUGACGAUAGAUACGCAAGGCUGAGCCUCAUCAGGAGCAACGACGAUUUUGACUUGCUGAUAAGCCGUUUAGAGAGCCUAGUCUCCGGGGAAGAUGGAGCCAAAAUAAUGUGAUUAUGAAGAAAGAAGAACGGUCAAUCUCACGUUGAUCUAUGAUUCUGGACAAAGUGAUCAAAUUAUAGGUAUAUAUCGUGUGAACAAGAGUGAGGGUCAUGACUAUUGACCUAUUUAAGAAAGAGUAAUGUGAUAGGUCUUAGUUUGUAAGAUGGAAACAAGGCCAUGUGACUGUGAAGAAAGAAUAACAGUCAAUCUCGCGUCGAUUUAUGAUUCUAGAUAAAGUGAUCAAAUCAUAGGUACAUAUCGUGUGAAUUAGAGUGAAGGUCAUGACUAUUUACCUCUUUAAGAAAGAGCAAUGUGAUAAGUCUUAGUAUGUAAGAUGGAACCAAAACCAGAAGAUUAUGAAGAAAGAACAACAGUCAAUCUCGCAUUGAUUU